rnacentral:rRNA from 1 species
GACGAACGCUGGCGGCGUGCCUAAUACAUGCAAGUAGAACGCACAGUUUAUACCGUAGCUUGCUACACCAUAGACUGUGAGUUGCGAACGGGUGAGUAACGCGUAGGUAACCUGCCUGGUAGCGGGGGAUAACUAUUGGAAACGAUAGCUAAUACCGCAUAAUAUUAAUUAUUGCAUGAUAAUUAAUUGAAAGGUGCAAUUGCACCACUACCAGAUGGACCUGCGUUGUAUUAGCUAGUAGGUGAGGUAACGGCUCACCUAGGCGACGAUACAUAGCCGACCUGAGAGGGUGAUCGGCCACACUGGGACUGAGACACGGCCCAGACUCCUACGGGAGGCAGCAGUAGGGAAUCUUCGGCAAUGGACGAAAGUCUGACCGAGCAACGCCGCGUGAGUGAAGAAGGUUUUCGGAUCGUAAAGCUCUGUUGUAAGAGAAGAACGGGUGUGAGAGUGGAAAGUUCACACUGUGACGGUAUCUUACCAGAAAG